GACGAACGCUGGCGGCGUGCUUAACACAUGCAAGUCGAACGGGCCUUGUCCCCUUUUUUUUUGGGGGUGGGGCUAGUGGCGAACGGGUGAGUAACACGUGAGUAACCUGCCCCUCACUUCUGGCUAACCGCUUGAAAGGGUGCCCAAUACGGGGUGUUCUGGCCUGCUCGCAUGGGUGGGUUUGGCAAGAUUCGACCGGCCUGGUUGUUUUGGUGGGGGUUGGGCUCGCGGCCUAUCAGCUUGUGGGGGGGGUGAUGGCCUGCCAAGGCUUUGCCGGGUAGCCGGCCUGAGGAGGUGGGCGGUCACACUGGGAGUGAGACACGGCCCAGACUUCUGCGAGAGGCAGCAGUGGAGAAUAUUGCACAGGGGGCGCAAGCCAGAUGGAGAGGCGCCGCGUGAGAGAUGGGGGCCUUCGGGGUGUGAACCUCUUUCGCGAGAGAAAGAGGUGCUGCUCUUUGUGGUGGGGUUGACGGUAGCUGAGUUAAUGAAGCGCCGGCUAACUACGUG
rnacentral:rRNA from 1 species